rnacentral:rRNA from 1 species
UGAGGAAUUUUGCGCAAUGGGGGAAACCCUGACGCAGCAACGCCGCGUGAGUGAUGAAGGCCUUCGGGUCGUAAAGCCCUGUCAAGUGGGAAGAACCUGCUCUGUGAUAACACCAUGAGGCACCGACGGUACCACUGAAGGAAGCACCGGCUAACUCCGUGCCAGCAGCCGCGGUAAUACGGGGGGUGCUAGCGUUAUUCGGAAUCAUUGGGCGUAAAGGGCGCGUAGGCGGUCUUUUAAGUCAGAUGUGAAAGCCCUCGGCUUAACCGAGGAAGUGCAUUUGAUACUAAGAGACUUGAGUAUGGGAGAGGGAAGCGGAAUUCCUGGUGUAGCGGUGAAAUGCGUAGAUAUCGGGAGGAACACCAGUGGCGAAGGCGGCUUCCUGGCCUGUUUCUGACGCUAAGAGGCGAAAGCUAGGGGAGCGAACGGGAUUAGAAACCCCGGUAGUCCUAGCCAUAAACGAUGGAUACUGGGUGUCGGUGGUCCUAACCCCAUCGGUGCCGAAGCUAACGCGUUAAGUAUCCCGCCUGGGGACUACGGCCGCAAGGUUA